GAUGAACGCUGGCGGCGUGCCUAAUACAUGCAAGUCGAUCGAACAGACGAGGAGCUUGCUCCUCUGACGUUAGCGGCGGACGGGUGAGUAACACGUGGAUAACCUACCUAUAAGACUGGGAUAACUUCGGGAAACCGGAGCUAAUACCGGAUAAUAUAUUGAACCGCAUGGUUCAAUAGUGAAAGACGGUUUUGCUGUCACUUAUAGAUGGAUCCGCGCCGCAUUAGCUAGUUGGUAAGGUAACGGCUUACCAAGGCGACGAUGCGUAGCCGACCUGAGAGGGUGAUCGGCCAGACUGGAACUGAGACACGGUACAGACUACUACGGGAGGCAGCAGUAGGGAAUCUUCCGCAAUGGGCGAAAGCCUGACGGAGCAACGCCGCGUGAGUGAUGAAGGUCUUCGGAUCGUAAAACUCUGUUAUUAGGGAAGAACAAAUGUGUAAGUAACUAUGCACGUCUUGAAGGUACCUAAUCAGAAAGCCACGGCUAACUACGUG
rnacentral:rRNA from 1 species